rnacentral:misc_RNA from 1 species
GAUGAAGAACGUAGCGAAAUGCGAUAAGUAAUGUGAAUUGCAGUAUUCAGUGAAUCAUCGAAUCUUUGAACGCACCUUGCGCCUUUUGGUAUUCCGAAAGGCACACCUGUUUGAGCGUCAUGAAUACCUCAAUCUCCAUCUUUUCUUCGGAUUGAUGGGUGACUUGGAUGUUGAGCCCUGCUGGUAUGCUAUAUCAGCUGGCUUUAAACUUAUUAGCCGGCUCUGUACUGGAUCGGUUUGACUCGACGUGAUAAUAUUAUCGUUGAGGAUGCAUGUCUCAUGCAGCCGGAAAGUAUCAAAGCAGCUUCUAGCUUGCCUUUAGUGCACUUUUACAUUUUAGACCUCAGAUCAGGUGGGACUACCCGCUGAACUUAAGCAUAUCAAUAAGCGGAGGA